rnacentral:rRNA from 1 species
UGGGGAAUCUUAGACAAUGGGGGCAACCCUGAUCUAGCCAUGCCGCGUGAGUGAUGAAGGCCUUAGGGUUGUAAAGCUCUUUCAGCUGGGAAGAUAAUGACGGUACCAGCAGAAGAAGCCCCGGCUAACUCCGUGCCAGCAGCCGCGGUAAUACGGAGGGGGCUAGCGUUGUUCGGAAUUACUGGGCGUAAAGCGCACGUAGGCGGACUGGAAAGUCAGAGGUGAAAUCCCAGGGCUCAACCUUGGAACUGCCUUUGAAACUAUCAGUCUGGAGUUCGAGAGAGGUGAGUGGAAUUCCGAGUGUAGAGGUGAAAUUCGUAGAUAUUCGGAGGAACACCAGUGGCGAAGGCGGCUCACUGGCUCGAUACUGACGCUGAGGCGCGAAAGCGUGGGGAGCAAACA